ACCUUACAGUGAAAUGCUGAAUACAACAGGUGUAGUAGACCUUACAGUGAAAUGCUAAAUACAACAGGUGUAGUAGACCUUACAGUGAAAUGCUGAAUACAACAGGUGUAGUAGACCUCACAGUGAAAUGCUAAAUACAACAGGUGUAGUAGACCUUUCAGUGAAAUGCUGAAUACAACAGGUGUAGUAGACCUUAUAGUGAAAUGCUGAAUACAACAGGUGUAGUAGACCUUACAGUGAAAUGCUGAAUACAACAGGUGUAGUAGACCUUUCAGUGAAAUGCUGAAUACAACAGGUGUAGUAGACCUUAUAGUGAAAUGCUGAAUACAACAGGUGUAGUAGACCUUACAGUGAAAUGCUAAAUACAACAGGUGUAGUAGACCUUACAGUGAAAUGCUGAAUACAACAGGUGUAGUAGACCUUACAGUGAAAUGCUAAAUACAACAGGUGUAGUAGACCUUACAGUGAAAUGCUAAAUACAACAGGUGUAGUAGACCUUACAGUGAAAUGCUAAAUACAACAGGUGUAGUAGACCUUACAGUGAAAUGCUAAAUACAACAGGUGUAGUAGACCUUACAGUGAAAUGCUAAAUACAACAGGUGUAGUAGACCUUACAGUGAAAUGCUAAAUACAACAGGUGUAGUAGACCUUACAGUGAAAUGCUGAAUACAACAGGUGUAGUAGACCUUACAGUGAAAUGCUAAAUACAACAGGUGUAGUAGACCUUACAGUGAAAUGCUAAAUACAACAGGUGUAGUAGACCUUACAGUGAAAUGCUAAAUACAACAGGUGUAGUAGACCUUACAGUGAAAUGCUGAAUACAACAGGUGUAGUAGACCUUACAGUGAAAUGCUAAAUACAACAGGUGUAGUAGACCUUACAGUGAAAUGCUGAAUACAACAGGUGAAGUAGACCUUACCGUGAAAUGCUGAA